UAUACUGUAUAUACGUAUAUAUAUAUGAAUAGGCUAGUUUCGAUCGGGAUGAAAGAAGAUUUUGUGACGUCAAGAUCAAGAUCGAUAUUUCUGAAAAACGUUGCAAUCUAGCUUAGGAACGAUGACGUCAACAGGGUGGCGUCCAAUCGGAGGUCUGGAGUUCCGGCUAUAUAAAAAGGCGUGUUUCGCCACAGCGCUUCACUAGCCGUUCGUGGAAGGAAUCGUCGCUUGGUUGUCGCCACGAGCUUAUAUUCUCUCUCUCGUCUAUUCUCUCCGUAUCCAACAGAUCAAAAUGGUGAGUAGCCCGUCUGAUAUCUUCGGUUUUUACCGAAUUUUUCCAUAUAUUGUUGUCCCGUCUCCACUUUUAGUAUUAGAGUUAACGUUAAUUCUACUGCAGUUGUCUGGACCUCGCCCACGCUGACGUGGCCGAUGGUUGUCGACAUAAAAGUCAUUGUUUCGAAUUAUUUAUUGACUUUUAAAGUCAGAUCUACGUUAAAAUUGCUUCCAUAUAUCGUUUUUUAAAAUUUCUUCUAACGUUUUUUUAAUUUUAAAAAGAAGAAAAAGGCAGUGGCCCUUGUCUAGUCAGCGCCAGACAGAUGAGUCAUCGGGAUGCGGAUGACCGGCUUUACCAUAUUUGUUCUGUUGCCUGCAUUCCGUCGAGCGUCACUGGGCUGUCGACCUAUCGUUACUGAAUGCGUGAAGAAGAAGAAAAAAAGAAAAAAAUGCUCGUUUAGCAUAAUUUUUUUUUUCCAGAUAAAAUACUCUUCCAGAUCUUCUUCGAUACUCCUGCAUAAAUACGUGGAAAUAAUUAUUAAACCGGAUGUUGCGCAUUUCCGGCUGACGAAUGCAGAC
rnacentral:lncRNA from 1 species